AUUUUAUUAGUAUAUAAGUAUAUUUAACUUCCAAUUAAGAGGAUUAAUUCUAUUAAAUAAAAUA
rnacentral:tRNA from 1 species